AUACGGAGGAUCCGAGCGUUAUCCGGAUUUAUUGGGUUUAAAGGGUGCGCAGGCGGCCAUUUAAGUCAGCGGUUAAAUCGUGGGGCUCAACCCCAUUCUGCCGUUGAUACUGGGUGGCUUGAUUGCGGUCGAGGUUGGCGGAAUUCGUUGUGUAGCGGUGAAAUGCAUAGAUAUGACGAAGAACACCGAUUGCGUAGGCAGCUGACCAGACCGCAAAUGACCCUCAUGCACGAAAGUGCGGGGAUCGAACAGGAUUAGAUACCCUGGUAGUCCGCACAGUAAACGAUGAAUACUUGUUUUCGGCGAUAUAAUGUCGGAGGCAAAGCGAAAGCGAUAAGUAUUCCACCUGGGGAGUACGCCGGCAACGGUGAAAAUCAAAGGAAUUGGCGGG
rnacentral:rRNA from 1 species